ACACGGCAGCUCUCUACUGUCGCGCGCUCGACUCUCUCUCUCCCUCCCCUCGCGGCGAAACCGCGCACUGUAUGCAUAUAUAGGUGUCUUCCUGUUCGAACCCGCGACCGUUACAUACGCGCGCGCGCGCUAUGUCUAUAUCUAUACGCGUUGGAUUUGACACUGGCGCUAUAGCUACCCCCGCGGACGGUAGCCAUGCAGGAGAGGAACUGAGCAGAGCGGCGAGUGAGAAAAGGAAGGUGACCUCGACGAUGGAAGAGAGAAGCAAGACCGAGAUCUCGAGAGCGGCGCGGAGGGAGUAGUAGAGUCGUCGAAACGCGACAAAAGACUGCUGCGGCGCGCUGAAUGCUUCUCUGAUGCGACUGCUGAGUGAAUUGAGGCUCACCACCCGUACAAAGUGUAAAGAAUUUCACCUGGCCGACGAAGCAUCGAAUUCAACCUCGCCAAAAACCAAAAAAAGCCGUCGACGAAAAUAAGGGACAUCCCCCGGCGGAAUAACAAAUUCAAUCCCACGAUCCAGAAAGCGAAUGGCGCGUCCGAUGGCGCGAAGAUAAAAAUAUCGCUUUAAGUGGACAUCGGGGCCGAGGGCUUCGGCGAAACGGCUCACAAGAGCUUGACGAGAUGAGCCAAUUAAAAUGGCGCGAGUUGAGACACGUUGAUUUAAUUUAUGC